rnacentral:rRNA from 1 species
GACGAACGCUGGCGGCGUGCCUAAUACAUGCAAGUAGAACGCUGAAGAGAGGAGCUUGCUCUUCUUGGAUGAGUUGAGAACGGGUGAGUAACGCGUAGGUAACCUGCCUUGCAGCGGGGGAUAACUAUUGGAAACGAUAGCUAAUACCGCAUAACAAUGGAUGACACAUGUCAUUUAUUUGAAAGGGGCAAUUGCUCCACUACAAGAUGGACCUGCGUUGUAUUAGCUAGUAGGUGAGGUAAUGGCUCACCUAGGCGACGAUACAUAGCCGACCGGAGAGGGUGAGCGGCCACACUGAGAGUGAGACACGGCCCAGACUGCUACGGGAGGCAGCAGUAGGGCAGCUUCGGCAAUGGGGGCAACCCUGACCGAGCAAGGCCGCGUGAGUGAGGAAGGUUGUCGGGUCGUAAAGCUCGGUUGUAAGUCAGGAACGGGUGUGAGAGUGUAAAGUUCACACUGUGACGGUAGCUGACCAGAAAGCGACGGCUAACUACGUG